CCAGACUCCUACGGGAGGCAGCAGUGGGGAAUAUUGGGCAAUGGGCGAAAGCCUGACCCAGCGACGCCGCGUGAGGGAAGAAGGUCUUCGGAUUGUAAACCUCUUUCAGCAGGGAAGAAGAAAGUGACGGUACCUGCAGAAGAAGUCACGGCUAACUACGUGCCAGCAGCCGCGGUAAUACGUAGGGAGCAAGCGUUGUCCGGAAUUACUGGGCGUAAAGGGCGCGUAGGUGGGCGCUUAAGUCAGGUGUGAAAACUCCGGGCUCAACCUGGAGACUGCACUUGAAACUGGGUGUCUUGAGGGCAGGAGAGGAAAGUGGAAUUCCUAGUGUAGCGGUGAAAUGCGUAGAUAUUAGGAGGAACACCAGUGGCGAAGGCGACUUUCUGGACUGUACCUGACGCUGAGGCGCGAAAGCGUGGGUAGCGAACGGGAUUAGAUACCCCAGUA
rnacentral:rRNA from 1 species